AAAAAGGCCACGCGGGAGAUUAGUUUGGGAAAGAGGACAAGUUUCCAAAAUUUCAAACGAUACUGCAGGCGCAGCUGAGCUUGGCGGAGCGAAAGCCCAACUCCGCGGGCCGUACGAGGUCGCAGGAUCUGCAAACGCCGCGUUUGCUUUUGAUUGUGGAAACCCCAGCAUUUGUAAGACAAAGAGGAGAAGUCCUAAACUGCAGCAAUGUGCAGCUCCUGCUUCGUCCCGGGACGCCGCAUUUGUUUUCCUUUUCAAAACGUUUCCAAAAUCCAGCUUGGACAAGAAUGCCCCAAGCGUCCCUGGGCCCGGUGUCUGUUCUUGCUGCUCUGCUGGGUUUCUUGGGAGAGGAGAAUGUGGAACUGUGCGAGGGUGAGCGAGCACUCGUUGCAGGAAAAAGGCAGCGAUGGGUGCAAAUGAGAACCAUUGAGUCUGUGCUCCCGAGAGGAAAUUUUGCAAUUCCUAAUGUACCUGAAGUUGGGCAAAACUGCCUUAGGGAUAGGGACCCCAGAGUNUGAAUCAGCACAGAUGCCCACGAGGAAUUCGAACAGUGGGAAACAGAGACCAAACUCUUCUCCCCUGUGAGUACCGAGUUUCCCUUUCUGUAGGGUUACCAUGGGAAAAAAAAGACAGGGAUCCUCGGCUUUUAUUUCUGCAUGUGUUGCCUGCAUGGACAGGUCCACUUGCUGAAAUUCCCUCUUCUGUGCAGCUGCGGAAGGGGCAGGAACCCUCCCCCCUUUUUCAGAGCCUUCCGCGCUCUCUGCCUUGCAGUCACAAACUGGCAGGAGGCGGGAUGCUUCCAGCUGGGGAGUGGGCGGGGCUUCCUGUGGGCGGGGCCUCUCCCCACCUAUAUCAGCAGGUGCCUGAGGGCCAGCCAGGUAGUUUUGAGUGUCCGCAUCUCCCUGCCACGAUGCUGAGUUCCCGGCAGUGUCUGCAGCUGCUCCUAGGGUGGGCCCUGCUCCUGGGGCAGCCAGCGGGUGGGACCCAGGAGGAGGCAGAGGCGGUAGAGGUGGCAGAGACUGAGGCAGAGGGGGCAGAGCCAGUCUUGCCUACCUCUGCAGCAGAUCCAGUGACUUCAGGAGAACCUUCAGAAGAGCUAGACGAGGAUCUCUGGAGGAUUGACCCGUGGACGGCAACCGAUAAGCAGCUGGAGAAACUGGCAAGUAUGGAGCGCCAGAGACUUGAAGACCCCAACUCUUAUUGGGCAGCCAGCUGGACGCGCUCUUGCAUUCAGGCCCUGAGUGGACACCGUGAUGCUCCUUUCUACAAGCUUCUGGAGGACGCCGACCUCAACAUCGAGAAAGCCCUUGGAACCGUGUUCAGCUUCAGCCUCUACGUGGGGAGAACCAACUGCACCCAAGAAGAGGGAANGAAGGCUGCCGAUUUUAGCCAUUACUACGGCUAUUGGGGCAGGAGGCAUCACCUGUUUCUUCCCCCAAAGCCAAAGUGUGAUCUGGAUCCAUCCCCCUGGAUAAAAAAAUGCAUGUUUUAUGUGUAUGAGGAUGCACGGACUGGAACCUCAUCCAUAUUUCAUCACGAGUGUCAAAACCAAAUUUACGGAGAAACCACUUGGCUAGCGCCGGAGGAGUGACACUGAGGGCCAGCAGCCGGGCACAGAAGGAGCCCGACGUUCGUCCGAUGCCCUUCGCAGCUACGCUAUGAUCACUUAGACGCCCGCCCGGACGCCUCCCCACCCUGGAAUCUCUGGCAGCUCACGCCUUGCCCUUGCUCUAGCUUAGGAUAAUAAAAUCACCCUGUGCAAACA
ensembl:lncRNA